rnacentral:lncRNA from 10 species
UUUGCUUUAAAGAAAUCUAUUUAUAUUUUGCCAAGAUCCCCUUUAUACUCCCAGGGUGUCACAGAAAAUCGUGAGGAUGAGUCUGUCAUUGGGUUGACCAGAAUCCAGGAGCAAAAAAAAGAUCUGGACUGGGAGACAGGAAACCUGCAUUCCAGUCCUGGUCUGGCCACUUACCAACUAUGGGACACUGGGCCACCCUGGAUCUCUUGGAGUCUCAGUUUCUUUUCCUGUAAAAUGGGGGUAAUUAUAUUUGUUCUCUCUACCUCACAAGGUGUUUUAAGCAGCAAGCAGGACAAUCUAUAAGAAACGGCUUUUGGAAGGACAAUCCCUGUUAGGCUGUUCUUGUGCUGCGGUAUUUACAGCAUGCCCUCAGGCUACCCAGAACCGGUGUUUGCUAAAGAUGACAGUCCACUGGAAGACUCUCUUACUGUUGCUAAACCUUGUGCUGCAUAUUGUUGUCUAUACUGAGACCCAAACUCACUCUGGAUCCUGGAACUCAUUCACUGAAACUUCUUCCCUUUCCUCAUCCAAAUGAGUGUUUU